UACGUAGGCAGCAAGCGUUGUUCGGAAUUACUGGGCGUAAAGGGUGCGUAGGCGGCUUUUUAAGUUUGGUGUGAAAUCUCCUGGCUCAACUGGGAGGGUGCGCCGAAUACUGAGAAGCUAGAGUGUGGGAGAGGAAGGUGGAAUUCCUGGUGUAGCGGUGAAAUGCGUAGAUAUCGGGAGGAACACCGGUGGCGAAGGCGGUUCUCUGGGCCUUACCUGACGCUGAGGCGCGAAAGCGUGGGGAGCGAACAGG
rnacentral:rRNA from 1 species